rnacentral:rRNA from 1 species
UACGGAGGAUGCAAGCGUUAUCCGGAAUGAUUGGGCGUAAAGCGUCCGCAGGUGGCAAUGUAAGUCUGCUGUCAAAGCGUCUGGCUCAACCAGAUAAAGGCAGUGGAAACUACAUAGCUAGAGUAAGGUAGGGGUAGAGGGAAUUCCUGGUGUAGCGGUGGAAAUGCGCAGAUAUCAGGAGGAACACCGGUGGCGAAGGCGGUUCUCUGGGCCUGUACUGACGCUGAGGAACGAAAGCGUGGGGAGCGAACAGG